rnacentral:rRNA from 1 species
GUCUACGGCCAUGCUACCCUGAACAAGCCCAACCUCAUCUGAUCUCAGAAGCUAAGCAGGGCUGAGCCUGGUUAGUACUUGGAUGGGAGACCACCUAGGAAGACCAGGUGCUGUAGGCG